GUGAAUCAUCGAAUUUUUGAACGCAAAUUGCACUCUCUGCGGAGAGUAUGCCUGUUUGAGGGUCAGCCUAAAAAAAAUCGACAUAGUCGCUGGUUCCCGGUGACAUUCGUCGGAAAUUGGGUCAUCUUAAACCUUUUGGUUUUAAGCGACUGAAAAUUUUCUUUGUGGUUCCAGGAACGUUUCUAAGAUUUAUUUCUUUGCACGUUUAAGGGUAUCGAUUUUUAUUAGACGUGACCAUCAUCUCUGAUCUCGUUCAGAAUCUUACAUUAAC
rnacentral:misc_RNA from 1 species